GUUUUGUUGUUGCGCAACCCCCUGCUCCCCCUUUGCCAAAAAAAACAAAUAUAAUAAAAAAUUAUCAUAUAAGGGCAAUCUAUCCUAUUAAUAUUCUGCAAAAUUCAUUGAUUGUGCAAGGUUGUAUAGCCAGCUGAGGUCGUUAAAAACUCUCUUUUGUUGUUGCAGAUAGAUCUUGACCUGAUAAACAAUUUUACCACAUGCUCUAAAUGCUUUGGUUUUUGA
rnacentral:lncRNA from 1 species